AUUUAUAUAGUUUAAAAAAAACACUAUAUUUUCAAUAUAGAGAUAAAAAAAUUUUAUAAAUU
rnacentral:tRNA from 1 species